CAAGAAAAAUGCUACAAUCAAUGCUCUGUGAUUAAAUGAAUGGAUGGAUGUAAUGAAGCAACUGAUAGAGCACUUUUUCCUCAUGGAAUGCGACAUGCUUUCUUAAGCAGUGGCAUGGAUGUUUAAAGGGGACAUAUUAUGCUCCUUUUCAACAAGUUUGAAUAAGUCUCAGAGGUCCCCAAAGCAUGUAUUUGAAGCUUUUUGCUAAAAAAAUCCACUCCGAUCCUAUAUUUCAGCAUGCCUGUAAACCCCUCUUUUUGAGCCCUGUUCAGAACAGGCUGUUUCUGUGUCUGUAGCUUUAAAUGCAAUGAGAUGUGCCUGACCACGCCCCUCUCCGGAAGGGGAUGCCGUUCGGGCUUCUGGCACCGUGCUCUAAUGUUUACGGUGACCGUGACCGGCAACCUGGCGUCGGUAGCGAUUUGGUUCAACCACACAACUUUUAUCCAGAAUCUGAGCCAGAGGGAGAGGCUGCUGAAGAAGUUCAAACUCUACAACUGCAGCAGGACGUUUCUGAAUGGUGCUCCUGUGGAAACUGUGCAACCAUGCGCACAGAAGCUGAGAACAUCUGCUGCUAAGAGAUACCACAGGUUACCAGAUGGCUAUGGGAGAUCGUGGAAGAUUUACCAUGUAUGGUAGACCGUCCUGGGUUGGAGCCGCUCUGCAAUGUGUACUCCCUCCAGAAUGCCUGCAACAUGUACUGCACUGACUAUGGUCCUUAACGGUUGAGAGGAAUACAACAGUACGUUUUGAUUCUUUGUAAAAAACAUAGUUUCAAUCUAAAUAAAAGAUGUUAGACAGUCUUGUUUUACUUCAGUGCACAUAAUUUUACAAUGGUAAUAACACACCACAAAUAGAGUAACACACACUCAAAUAAAUUAGUUUAGCUGCUCUUUGAUUUGUAAAGUUCUUCUAUCAGCAGAUAGUGUGCAUAUAAUAUGAAUUCAGAGGAGUCAUUUCUUUAGUAACAAUCAAGCAUUUAUUUACAUCAAAUGAGGCACUUAUAAUCAGUGAUGAUAAAAAAACUGUAGGAUUCACUGGAUCCAUAAAAAAAAUUGUGAGACACAACAUAGAUAUAUGUUUGCAAGACUAAAUGUCCUGUCCAGUUGUUUUAGUCAGUACAGGUAUCUAGCCUAUAGGAGCUUUGUGAGCUGGUGCUGGGGCUUCCUUGGUUGCAGAAUCUGGGUCGUCAUUCUAGCCUGCGUGGUCCUACGCAUCCAUGCCGUGUUUCCUGACGCCACAGGCCGGUAUGUGGGUUUUAGACUGGCCCAUGAUAGAACCGGGACACAUAGCUGGAUAUGACCUCCUCCUUCUCAGGCCGCUCGAACUGUGCAGUGAGGUCCUCUGGGAUGGGGAUGGCCAAAGCAGCUUCUGUGUAUGGUCCCAGGUCACAAAGACUUUUUCAAAUAUGAGGUCCACCACAUUCCCUGUUUGAUAAAACACAAAAGAUUUUUUUUUUUACAUUUUUCACUUUUGUUUUUACAAAACAAUGACAAUGAGUCUGUUUCUAAAUACCUCCUGACAUUUUCUUUACUGUAUUUUGUUGUUGAUGGAACUGUCAUAACAUUAUAUGUGCAAUAUUUAAUACAAUGUGUACAAAACAUUUUUUGGUUGAAAAAUAAAAUAAUAUAACACUUAUAGAAUGUCGCCUCAGUCUUAACUGGUGUAGCUCUGCAUUCUCCCUUCAUGGCUUUUGGAAAUUGGACCUUGAACAGUGGUUCACCUUCUUUUGUUUGGGCUUGUGGUCGGUCAGCAUUUUCAUUGUACUACAUGGCAGCCAGGUGACAGAUGAUGACAGAAACCUUAGCCUACACACUCUCACAAGUUCUAAGUAACCACAGCUUCAUUUACCUGCACAUUAUUCCACGACUGAUAAAUGACUGUUAGGUUUAUCAAAAGUAGAUGCACUUCAGAUG